GGGCCCGCACAAGCGGUGGAGCAUGUGGUUUAAUUCGAUGCAACGCGAAGAACCUUACCAGGUCUUGACAUCCUACGAAUCUUAACGAAAGUUGAGAGUGCCUUCGGGAGCGUAGAGACAGGUGGUGCAUGGUUGUCGUCAGCUCGUGUCGUGAGAUGUUGGGUUAAGUCCCGCAACGAGCGCAACCCUUGCUAUUAGUUGCUAACGGGUAGAGCCGAGCACUCUAAUGGGACUGCCGGUGACAAGCCGGAGGAAGGUGGGGAUGACGUCAAAUCAUCAUGCCCUUUAUGAUCUGGGCAACACACGUGCUACAAUGGAUGGUACAAAGAGAUGCAAAGUCGCGAGGCAGAGCAAAUCUCAAAAAGCCAUUCUCAGUUCGGAUUGGAGUCUGCAACUCGACUCCAUGAAGUCGGAAUCGCUAGUAAUUGCGAAUCAGAAUGUCGCAGUGAAUGCGUUCCCGGGCCUU
rnacentral:rRNA from 1 species